rnacentral:rRNA from 1 species
UACAGAGGUCCCAAGCGUUGUUCGGAUUCACUGGGCGUAAAGGGUGCGUAGGCGGUCGGGUAAGUCUGAUGUGAAAUCUCACAGCUUAACUGUGAAACUGCAUUGGAUACUAUCCGGCUAGGAGGAAUGGAGGGGAGACUGGAAUACUUGGUGUAGCAGUGAAAUGCGUAGAGGUCGGGAGGAACACCAGAGGCGAAGGCGGCGACCUGGACAAGUACUGACACUCAACUACGAAAGCGUGGGAGCAAACAGG